rnacentral:misc_RNA from 1 species
CAACCCUCAAGCCCCCGGGCUUGGUGUUGGGGACCGGCCCCCUCGCCCUCUGGGCAGGCCGCCCCCUAAAUACAGUGGCGGUCACGUCGCGGCGUCCUCUGCGUAGUAGCACACCUCGCAGCCGGAUCGCGGCGCGGCCACGCCGUAAAACCCCCCAUCUUUCUGAAA